CUCGAGAUGGCCGCCCAUUAAGACUUAUUGAUGCACUGCCGCUAUGGUGACAGAAAUGAAACCGGCUGCUUUCGUAAUUGGAAACGACUGCCUGUCUAACUUUCCAACCCGAAGGGAAAACCAGCUCAACUACAAGUACCUACCAUACAUACCUAAGUUUUAUACACCGUUGUCGUGGUAGAGGACAGAGAGGACUAGCUACUGUCUUGUAAAAAGAGCCACAAAUGAAGUGAGUUUGGUUACAUUUCGUUUCGAUGACGUUACAUGAUUAUCAUUGAGUUUGGUUACAUUUCGUUUCGAUGACGUUACAUGAUUAUCAUCAUGGAUCAUGGCUUACCUUCCAUUCUGUGGUCCCACGUUGCCGUCAUUAAAGGAGGAGCUGGCUGUUAGGUCCUUAUCUGGGAUUAACCCGCUCUCCAUGCCGAGCGGCGCGAUACAUUGAGCUGAGA